rnacentral:rRNA from 1 species
GACGGAGGAUGCAAGCGUUAUCCGGAAUGAUUGGGCGUAAAGCGUCCGCAGGUGGCAGUUCAAGUCUGCUGUCAAAGACCGGGGCUUAACUUCGGAAAGGCAGUGGAAACUGAACAGCUAGAGUAUGGUAGGGGCAGAGGGAAUUCCUGGUGUAGCGGUGAAAUGCGUAGAGAUCAGGAGGAACACCGGUGGCGAAGGCGGCAUCCUGGACCGGCAUUGACGCUGAGGCGCGAAAGCGUGGGGAGCAAACAGG